rnacentral:rRNA from 1 species
CAGCAGCCGCGGUAAUACGAGGGGGGCAAGCGUUGUCCGGAAUUAUUGGGCGUAAAGGGCUCGCAGGCGGUUUCUUAAGUCUGAUGUGAAAGCCCCCGGCUCAACCGGGGAGGGUCAUUGGAAACUGGGAAACUUGAGUGCAGAAGAGGAGAGUGGAAUUCCACGUGUAGCGGUGAAAUGCGUAGAGAUGUGGAGGAACACCAGUGGCGAAGGCGACUCUCUGGUCUGUAACUGACGCUGAGGAGCGAAAGCGUGGGGAGCGAACAGGAUUAGAUACCCCCGUAGUCCCUGUCUCUUAUAC